AAUGUUUACCUUACAGAAAAAAACAUCAAACCGGAUGGACAUCAAAGCACCUGUCAAGGCCAAGGAUGCAGGUGUGAUAAAGUCAUUGGAAAAGAUGAGGUUUGCUGUAAGAGUACGACUGAGAAGUUUGUGUACCAUAAGAAGGAUGGCUUCCAAUGCUGUGGUAUUCACUACUACAACACUUCUCUGUGGACUUGCAACAGCCGAAGUUACAGGCUAAGCCCCAGGCUGACGAAACUGAACACCUGGGAAACAAAGGCAUUACUGAUCUUGAUUUAAAUCAUCAUUUUUAUACCGCUGUCCGGUACCUCAUGCUACAUAAUUAACUUUUUAUCUGUCAUUUUGACAUAGCUAAGGACUUGUUUGCUUUCCAAAGCCAAAGAACCAGUUCUACACAAUGUUACAAAAAACACGAAUGCUUAACAAUUUUUUAACUGUAUU